rnacentral:lncRNA from 1 species
AAGUGCAAUCCAAAUAUAAAAUUAUUAUUUCCUUGGUAUACCAAAUUAUGGCAUACCAAGAUACGUAUUUUAAAAUAAAGUAGUUGUUAAAAAUUUAAGGACUACUCAAUAAAUUUGCAGCAAAUUCAGAGUCUAAUAAACUAUUGUUAUAAUUUUUGAAUGAAGAAUUUCUUUUUGAAAAGGGGCAUUUAUCAACUCGAUGGGACAUCUUCAAUGUAACUUCUUUAUCUCCACCUGAUCAAGGAGUAGCAAUGUCAUCGAUAGAUACAAAAGUAUUUUCUGAUGAGGCUCCAUCUGGCUCUGGAUUGAUAAAUAUUGACAAUUCUUUGCCCAUAAGGAAACCAGAUCCUCCACUUCGAGAAAUUCGUCGCCAAAUAUCAUUUACAGGAGGAUCUGGAAUUGGUUCAAUAAAAAAAGCUAAAUACCCAAGCUUCUAUUGAAUCGAAUAAAACUGGAGCAUAUAUAGAAGAGAAUAUUGUAUCUGAUAUUGAUGAUAAAAAAUCAUAAGGAAAGAAAGUUUCAAGAGUAUAAAAAAGGAAAUUAAAGAGAUAAAAUAUAAUUUAAGGGAGGAGGUGAAAGAAGUAAAAGCAGAAUUAAUAGAAAAAGCAAAGAAUAUUCCAGAUGGCCACAGAGGUUCUAUUGCUGUUGUUAUUGAAAACCUUCAUAUAAACCCAUCGAACAACAAACAAAACUUUAAAUUUGUAGAAAUUGACUAAAAUUCCAUUUAGUACAAAGUUUUCAAUCCAUCUUUAUCAUAUGAUUUCAAUUUACUAAGUUAUAUCCUUUUUAACAAUUAUGUUAUAAAUAUAAACUAUUUGAAAUAAAUUCUUAAUAGUUAUCAACA